rnacentral:rRNA from 1 species
AUUGAACGCUGGCGGCAGGCUUAACACAUGCAAGUCGAGCGGAGAGAGGUAGAUUGCUACUGAUCUUAGCGGCGGACGGGUGAGUAAUGCUUAGGAAUCUGCCUAUUAGUGGGGGACAACAUUUCGAAAGGAAUGCUAAUACCGCAUACGUCCUACGGGAGAAAGCAGGGGAUCUUCGGACCUUGCGCUAAUAGAUGAGCCUAAGUCGGAUUAGCUAGUUGGUGGGGUAAAGGCCUACCAAGGCGACGAUCUGUAGCGGGUCUGAGAGGAUGAGACGCCACACUGAGACUGAGACACGGCCCAGACUCCUACGGGAGGGAGCAGUGGGGAAUAUUGGACAAUGGGCGCAAGCCUGAUCCAGCCAUGCCGCGUGUGUGAAGAAGGCCUUAUGGUUGUAAAGCACUUUAAGCGAGGAGGAGGCUACUCUAGUUAAUACCUAGAGAUAGUGGACGUUACUCGCAGAAUAAGCACCGGCUAACUCUGUGCCAGCCGCCGCGGUAACAC